rnacentral:antisense_RNA from 1 species
CUUCACCGAACCAAGCCACAGUGGACGGUCCGUCGAGCGAUCCCGGCCGUAAGUAGCCAGCAGCGCGGAAGUUUC